rnacentral:rRNA from 1 species
CCUACGGGAGGCAGCAGUGGGGAAUUUUGGACAAUGGGCGCAAGCCUGAUCCAGCAAUGCCGCGUGAGUGAAGAAGGCCUUCGGGUUGUAAAGCUCUUUUGUCAGGGAAGAAACGGUGGAGGCUAAUAUCCUUUGCUAAUGACGGUACCUGAAGAAUAAGCACCGGCUAACUACGUGCCAGCAGCCGCGGUAAUACGUAGGGUGCAAGCGUUAAUCGGAAUUACUGGGCGUAAAGCGUGCGCAGGCGGUUUUGUAAGUUUGUCGUGAAAUCCCCGGGCUCAACCUGGGAAUGGCGAUGAAGACUGCAAGGCUAGAAUCUGGCAGAGGGGGGUAGAAUUCCACGUGUAGCAGUGAAAUGCGUAGAGAUGUGGAGGAACACCGAUGGCGAAGGCAGCCCCCUGGGUCAAGAUUGACGCUCAUGCACGAAAGCGUGGGGAGCAAACAGGAUUAGAUACCCUGGUAGUCCACGCCCUAAACGAUGUCUACUAGUUGUCGGGUUUUAAUUAACUUGGUAACGCAGCUAACGCGUGAAGUAGACCGCCUGGGGAGUACGGUCGCAAGAUUAAAACUCAAAUGAAUUGACGG